rnacentral:piRNA from 1 species
UUACAUGGACUUGUCUACUAU